rnacentral:rRNA from 1 species
UACGUAGGGUGCAGGCGUUAAUCGGAAUUACUGGGUUUAAAGGGUACGUAGGCGGCUUAUUAAGUCAGGGGUGAAAGACUAUUGCUUAACAAUGGCAGUGCCUUUGAUACUGAUAGGCUUGAGUACAGCUGAGGCAGAUGGAACGGGUGGUGUAGCGGUGAAAUGCAUAGAUACCAUCCAGAACACCGAUUGCGAAGGCAGUCUGCUCAACUGUAACUGACGCUGAGGCACGAAAGCGUGGGGAUCGAACAGG